GCAACGGAUCUCUUGGCUCUCGCAUCGAUGAAGAACGCAGCGAAAUGCGAUAAGUAAUGUGAAUUGCAGAAUUCAGUGAAUCAUCGAAUCUUUGAACGCACCUUGCGCCCCUUGGUAUUCCGAGGGGCAUGCCCGUUUGAGUGUCAUUGUAUUCUCAAAUCCCCUUGCUUUCGUGAGGCUUGGAUUUGGAUUUGGAGGUUUGCGGGCUGACUUUGUUGUCCCGCUCCUCUUGAAUGUAUUAGCUGGAACCUUUUGCUAGACCGGCUUCGGUGUGAUAAUUAUCUGCGCCGUGGUUGCGAAGGCGACUUUGUUGAGGAUCCGCUUCCAAUUGUCUUACUGGACUAUUCCGACAUCUGACCUCAAAUCGGGUAGGACUACCCGCUGAACUUAAGCAUAUCAAUAAGCGGAGGA
rnacentral:rRNA from 1 species